AGUGAACGCUGGCGGUAGGCCUAACACAUGCAAGUCGAACGGUAACAGGUCUUCGGAUGCUGACGAGUGGCGAACGGGUGAGUAAUACAUCGGAACGUGCCUAGUAGUGGGGGAUAACUACUCGAAAGAGUGGCUAAUACCGCAUGAGAUCUACGGAUGAAAGCAGGGGAUCGCAAGACCUUGUGCUACUAGAGCGGCCGAUGGCAGAUUAGGUAGUUGGUGGGAUAAAAGCUUACCAAGCCGACGAUCUGUAGCUGGUCUGAGAGGACGAUCAGCCACACUGGGACUGAGACACGGCCCAGACUCCGACGGGAGGCAGCAGUGGGGAAUUUUGGACAAUGGGCGAAAGCCUGAUCCAGCAAUGCCGCGUGCAGGAUGAAGGCCUUCGGGUUGUAAACUGCUUUUGUACGGAACGAAAAGCCCCGGGUUAAUACCCUGGGGUCAUGACGGUACCGUAAGAAUAAGCACCGGCUAACUACGUGCCAGCCGCCGCCGUAA
rnacentral:rRNA from 1 species